UAUCGAGCAGAGUCACGUCGUGCGCUGCGCGUGUCUUUCUUUUUUAUGAACCCCCUUUUACAGGAAAUAGGAAAUGCAUCCAUUAUAAGAAAGCCAUUUCCUUUGGAAAGGGAUUGCCAGUUCAAGUGGGACCAUCUCGAUGCGAUGAUUUCUUCAAAUAAAAAAGAAGAAAAAAUCCCUGCCACAGUGAGGAGAGAUUCCACUCUGCCAGCAGAACAAAUUUCUCUUCAUGCUCAUCAUUAUAACCACACCAGGCUGCACCCGAUGGCACCAAGACGUCUUAACACGGCGACAACACUAAACCUCGGCGCGCAGAUGGAAAAUCCCGACGCGAGCACUAAGUCCAAGCGCUAAGUAUGUGUUGCAACUCGUUCCACAAGUGAGGAGCCACAGAGGAGAUCAGUCUGUUCUGUUUGGCUCGCCUCGCGCGCGGGGACGGCAGUGCCAGGACGGGAUUCCAUAGUGGCAAGACUGUGGCCAAGAACGAGCGCAGACUAGUGUCAAGUAUAUAAAUGAGAGCGCAGAGACACAGGCGUCGCUUUGUACGCAAACAUGAGUGACUUGGAUUUGAUUCUCGCUGCCUUGUGCGACCAGUGCAGGUGGAUGAGCACUCGGAGUGACGUGUGCACUUUGAGGCUGAUGCCAUGAGUCAGGGUUUGACACAGGUUGCUACUAAAAAAGCAGUAUUUUUAUGUAUGUUCUAUUUAAAAACAGUUCAAUUGAAGCUAUUUAUUCGUUUCUAGGUGCGGGAAUGAUAGAAAAUACAACUGCAGCUCAGUAUUCAUAACAUCACGGUUCUUUUUUUAAAUUCCUGCUCCGAGCACAGUAUUUUAUACUCAUUUCGAAGAUAUAAUGAGAUAAAAAAAAAACUGCUAAUUGUCAAUAUGGGUGAAAGCUUCUGCUUCAAAAUUGACCUGUUAGGAAAAGAUAGAGAUGCAGAGCAGCAAAAAAAAACAUCCCCCCUCCUCGUCCUCCUCUUCCACCACUGCAUUGUUUCUUCUCUUUUUUCACACUCCCCCCAAAACAGACACUCGAGCUCACCUCGCCCACCUCUCCGUUGCCCUAAGAUGUGCCGACACUUGUUGUCAGUGCCUGCAUCUUGUGUUUAUUCACCUUUUUGUGUGAUAUUAUUUCUUCACAAAUCUUACAGUAUUUUUGAGUGCUCAAAAAUACAAAAAAUAGGAAAGGAAAGGAUGAGCCAAUCUUUUUCAGCAGCUGUGGCAUGGAGUGUGUGUGAGUGUGUGUGUGUGUGCCUGCCUCAGCUGGGCCGGCUGGACUGUGAAUUUAACAGUCGCCACUGGAAACACACACAUCAUAUAUGAGUGA